UACAGAGGGGGCAAGCGUUGUUCGGAAUUACUGGGCGUAAAGGGCGCGUAGGCGGCCAACUAAGUCAGACGUGAAAUCCCUCGGCUUAACCGGGGAACUGCGUCUGAUACUGGAUGGCUUGAGUGCGGGAGAGGGAUGCGGAAUUCCAGGUGUAGCGGUGAAAUGCGUAGAUAUCUGGAGGAACACCGGUGGCGAAGGCGGCAUCCUGGACCGAGACUGACGCUGAGGAGCGAAAGCGUGGGGAGCGAACAGG
rnacentral:rRNA from 1 species